GGACUUCGACUGCAUCUCGAAUUCCUGAUCUGAAUCGGAUUAUAAGACAGAAACUGCGAUUACCGAAGACCCGUUUGCUCUCCUCUUCCUCUUAUCCUUUAGCUCUUCUUCGUCUGUUUGGUUCGAGGGACUGUGUUCGUAGAAAUGGAAGAGAGAAUUAGCAUAAGAAGAGAUUUGUAUUGGCGAUGGUGGGAGAAUUGAAAUAGCAUGAUGAUUGACGUUAGUGUGAUGGGUAGGAGAAGGAUUGUUCAGAUCCGAAACUCCUCUGCCGUUAGACUGCCAAAAAUUUGAUGUUUAGAUCUGAGAGACAUGCAACGCUUCCUUCACUGCACUCACCUCACUAGAUAAUCUUUUGUCAAGCGGUGUCCUCACCUCCUCUACCGAUUUAAUUGCUUCAAUCCAAUCGCUCCUUGUUGCAUCAACUCACGUUGGAAUUGGAAUCGAUGCAUCAGCGAGGAGACUUCCACUUCAUUGGAAGACAGAUUGGUGUCUCCGGCCCCGUCGCCGCUAGGUUGGAGUUGGAUCUUAGCCUCCGAUUCCAGGUGAAAUACCUCCUCCAGCAAGGGAAAAGAGAAUAUAAGACAUCAUGCCACUGAAUCAUAGGGAAAUUUUUCUAUAUGUAGAAGAUCAACAUGGGCCUAUUGAUGAAGUGAGACUAUUAGUGGCUUAGAUUUUAAACUCAGGUGCCCCACGACGAUGGCUUUAGAUGAUGAAGAAGAUAGAAAGAAAUUU
rnacentral:lncRNA from 1 species